rnacentral:lncRNA from 1 species
AAGUUUAUUAUGUUAACAAUGCAAAACAUAAAAUACAAUGUUUUGUACUAAAGCAUUAACAAGCCCUAUCAACAUAGCAUAAAUAGGCCCGAACCUUAACUAUCAACCUUCCACUACAAACGACCUACAAAAUACUUGCAUAGGUCAAUUAAAAAGCAAAUUAUCGUUUUUAUGAGCACCAACAAAUCAUCCAUUAUUUACAAAAAUAAUAAUCUUCCAACUUCAGCACAAAUUCCUUCUCUGUUUUGUUAUGGGCAUGUUUGGAACUCGUUGAAAGAAAGAGAAAAGAACGAAAUGUUAGUAAGGGAGAAAUAAAAGGGGAAGUAUAAUUAUUUUUCUCUGGUUUUACAAAGAAAAUAAAGGAAUACAAAUAAGGAAAAUACCUUCCCUGUAACUGAAUUAACAAAAACCCUACCAGUUCAGCACCAGACCAUCAGUCAAUCCCUCUCUCCUUCAAAAUAUGGACCACAGACGAUAAGAAAGAGGAAGUAACGAACCCGUAACUGAAUUAACAAAAACCCUACCAGUUCAGCACCAGACCGUCAGUCAAUCCCUCUCCCCUUCAAAAUAUGGACCACAAACGAUAAGAAAGAGGAAGAAACGAAGAAAACUAUAACAAUAAAAAAAAAUGAGGUAAACAAGUUUCUUUACAAGUUAUGAGAUGCAAAGAUGGAAACAAACAAACCAGGCAUAAUUAAUCUAGAAUCGUCAAGCAUUCUGUCCUCCAUCCCUAUGUUUAAGUUAGCAAAGCAAUAAAAUGGACCUAUGAACUCCAGCCUCAACAAAGGGCUUACCAAAACGCAGCAUCAUAAAAUUAUUUAAAAUUCACAAGAAGCACCCUGCAAUAUUUAUGUAAAAACGAGGACAAGAAGAUGACAAUAACCAGAUGGAACACAUCUUUACAAUAAUAGAAAUAUAAGGCAGCUCAAGAAACCUCCUUGCUCUAAUAAUGCUUUGGAUACCGGGCAACAACCAUUGCAAUAUAAAAUAAAAGACAAAAAAAUGAUGGUCCAGAUUCAAGGAGAUGCAAAACCUGAUACCGCACUCACCAGACACAUGAAAUUCAAAAUUGCUAUUUACCAGUGCUCCAUGUUUAAAUAAACAAUAGAAGCCAUCAAAAGAAAAGGUGAAAAAAUAAAAAAGGAACCAUGGUACCUAGAACCUGAACAAGAAGACAGGAAUGCACAUAUUAAUCAUCAAAGUACCUGUCACCAAAAGAAAGAAUCAAAACAGAAACUGCUAUGGGUAGAACAAAACAGCAAAUCAUAUAAAAACCAGUACCAAUCCAGCUACAUCCUGUCCACAACAGAUACGAACAGACGGGGAAAUACUAAGCAUUCACCUUAAAAAUUCAAGGAUAAGGGAAGCCUCACCCGAAAUUGACUAUACCAAUAAAAUUCAAGAUACCCACUCAUAUCAAUAAAUACUGCAUAAAGAGAUCAGGAAAGAGGUCACCAAAAAAGGUUCAAGAAUCCCAUCAAAACAAAUUAAAGAACAAGACAGCGCUCAUCGAUCUUCAGGAUCUUCCGAACAACUGGUACCCAUAAACAAUUAAUUAUUAAAAAGGAGGGGGGAAACAAAACUGUGAACGCCAACCUCAAUAAGGGCUUUCCCAAGUGCAGCAUCGUAAAAUUAUUUAAAAUCCGCACGAAGCACCCUGAAUUAUAAACGGAUCUAAUACAGAUUUCAGAACCCAAAAAAUUCUCACCAAGGAGGGCUCGCAAACAGCUCUUAUGAUUCAAUUGAUAUUACUUCACAAAAAUUGUUCUAGUAAAUAGCAAAACCAAGAAUAGAUCUCUUAUGAACGUAUCAUCAAAUCCAAACACAAUAUCAUGGACGAUCUCCUAAGUCCAGAUUUGGAACCCAAACCACAACUGUCUUAAAGAAUUCAAUGAACCCAAAAAGGCACGAGACCCAACCAGCACAACUUGAAUACGUAUAUCAUCAAAUUCCACAAAGAAAGCAAUGAUUACCUUGAUACCAAAAAAUACCUUGAUAAACAACUUCAAAUCAACCCGAAACGCUCUCUACGAAUCACAAAAUCUCUAACAACAUCUCUGCGAAGCGAAUAAAGAACACAGAGCCUACGCGAGAAACGAGGCACGGUGUCCCAAUUUAUAGGUGAAGUCGGUGCAGAGACACGGCUAGGAUUAAGUGUGGGUUUGAGAUCGGACGGUUGAAACCCG